GGGGUAUUAAUUUAAACGGUAAAAUUUGGGUAAAUUAAUCUAUAAUUAUUCAAAUGUGAGUUCGAGUCUCAUAUGCCCCC